rnacentral:rRNA from 1 species
CCAGACUCCUACGGGAGGCAGCAGUGAGGAAUAUUGGUCAAUGGGCGGGAGCCUGAACCAGCCAAGCCGCGUGAGGGAAGAAGGUACAGCGUAUCGUAAACCUCUUUUGUCAGGGAACAAAGGCGGGGACUAGUCCCCGGAUGAGGGUACCUGAAGAAAAAGCAUCGGCUAACUACGUGCCAGCAGCCGCGGUAAUACGUAGGGGGCAAGCGUUAUCCGGAUUUACUGGGUGUAAAGGGAGCGUAGACGGCUGUGCAAGCCAGAUGUGAAAGCCCGGGGCUCAACCCCGGGACUGCAUUUGGAACUGUGUGGCUGGAGUGCAGGAGGGGCAGGCGGAAUUCCUGGUGUAGCGGUGAAAUGCGUAGAUAUCAGAAGGAACACCGGUGGCGAAGGCGGCCUGCUGGACUGCAACUGACGUUGAGGCCCGAAAGCGUGGGGAGCAAACAGGAUUAGAUACCCGAGUACC